GGAUGUGGUAGCUCAGUGGUUAAGACAUCCAACUCCUGCUCGGAAGGUAGAGAGUUCAAGUCCCAGCACUGCCA